CCUACGGGCGACAGCAGUGAGGAAUAUUGGUCAAUGGCCGGAAGGCUGAACCAGCCAUGCCGCGUGAAGGUCAGUGCCCUAUGGGCGUUAAACUUCUUUUGUGCGGGAGCAAUAAUGGUCACGUGUGGCCAGACGAGAGUACCGUACGAAUAAGCAUCGGCUAACUCCGUGCCAGCAGCCGCGGUAAUACGGGGGAUGCAAGCGGUAUCCGGAUUUAGUGGGUUUAAAGGGUGCGUAGGCUGUGAGGUAAGUCAGCGGUGAAAUGCCCCCGCUCAACGGGGUGAAGUGCCAUUGAUACUGCGAGACUAGAGUAAUGGAGGGGGAACCGGAAUUCUCGGUGUAGCAGUGAAAUGCGUAGAUAUCGAGAGGAACACUCGUGGCGAAGGCGGGUUCCUGGACAUUAACUGACGCUGAGGCACGAAGGCCAGGGGAGCGAAAGGGAUUAGAUACCCCUGUAGUC
rnacentral:rRNA from 1 species